GUCAUAUGCUUGUCUCAAAGAUUAAGCCAUGCAUGUCUCAGUGCAAGCCGUCCUGUACGGUGAAACCGCGAAAGGCUCAUUAAAUCAGUUAUGGUUCCUUAGAUAGUACCCACGUUACUUGGAUAACUGUGGUAAUUCUAGAGCUAAUACAUGCCGACAGAGUUCCGACCAGCGUCGCGGCGGCUUGCCGUUCGCGACGUUCGGAAGGAGCGCUUUUAUUAGAUCAAAAUCGGCCAAGCGCAACGUUCGCGUAGCGUUAGUGGCCCGCGCAAAGACUUGACGACUCUGAAUAACUUCGAGCUGAUCGCACGGUCUCGCACCGGCGACGUAUCUUUCAAAUGUCUGCCUUAUCAACUGUCGACGGUACGUUCGAUGCUUACCGUGGUGGUAACGGGUAACGGGGAAUCAGGGUUCGAUUCCGGAGAGGGAGCCUGAGAAACGGCUACCACAUCCAAGGAAGGCAGCAGGCGCGCAAAUUACCCACUCCCAGCUCGGGGAGGUAGUGACGAAAAAUAACGAUACGGG
rnacentral:rRNA from 1 species